rnacentral:rRNA from 1 species
GUUGAACGCUGGCGGCAUGCCUUACACAUGCAAGUCGAACGGUAACGGGCCUUCGGGUGCCGACGAGUGGCGAACGGGUGAGUAAUGCAUCGGAACGUACCUUUCAGUGGGGGAUAACGUAGCGAAAGUUACGCUAAUACCGCAUAUUCUGUGAGCAAGAAAGCAGGGGAUCGCAAGACCUUGCGCUGAUUGAGCGGCCGAUGUCAGAUGAGUUGGUUGGGGAGGUAAAGGCCCACCAAGGCGACGAUCUGUAGCGGGUCUGAGAGGAUGAUCCGCCACACUGGAACGGAGACACGGUCCAGACUCCUACGGGAGGCAGCAGUGGGGAAUUUUGGACAAUGGGGGCAACCCUGAUCCAGCCAUGCCGCGUGAGUGAAGAAGGCCUUCGGGUUGUAAAGCUCUUUCGGCCGGGAAGAAAUCGUAUGGGCUAAUACCCUGUGCGGAUGACGGUACCGGCAUAAGAAGCACCGGCUAACUACGUGCCAGCCGCCGCGGUAACAC